rnacentral:rRNA from 1 species
AACGAACGCUGGCGGCAUGCCUAAUACAUGCAAGUCGAACGCCUGUAGCAAUACAGGAGUGGCGGACGGGUGCGUAACGCGUGGGAACCUGCCCCUUGGUACGGGACAACUCCGGGAAACCGGGGCUAAUACCGUAUAAGGCCUGAGGGCGAAAGAUUUAUCGCCGAGGGAUGGGCCCGCGUCCGAUUAGGUAGUUGGUGGGGUAACGGCCCACCAAGCCGACGAUCGGUAGCUGGUCUGAGAGGACGGCCAGCCACACUGGGACUGAGACACGGCCCAGACUCCUACGGGAGGCAGCAGUAGGGAAUAUUGGACAAUGGGGGCAACCCUGAUCCAGCAGUGCCGCGUGAGUGAUGAAGGCCUUAGGGUUGUAAAGCUCUUUCGCCGGGGACGAUAAUGACGGUACCCGGAGAAGAAGCCUCGGCUAACUCCGUGCCAGCCGCCGCCGUAAUAC